UACGUAGGGUGCAAGCGUUGUCCGGAAUUAUAGGGCGUAAAGAGCUCGUAGGCGGUCUGUCGCGUCGGCUGUGAAAUCCCGAGGCUCAACCUCGGGUCUGCAGUCGAUACGGGCAAACUAGAGUAUUGCAGGGGAGACUGGAAUUCCUGGUGUAGCGGUGAAAUGCGCAGAUAUCAGGAGGAACACCGGUGGCGAAGGCGGGUCUCUGGGCAAUAACUGACGCUGAGGAGCGAAAGCGUGGGGAGCGAACAGG
rnacentral:rRNA from 1 species